rnacentral:lncRNA from 10 species
GCGCGGACCGACACUGUCAGCUCCUAACGCCGCAGGUUCCUCCUGGUCCCCGAGGCCCCCGGUCGGGCGUUGCCUGCCCCGCGCGGGCGGCCGGGCCGAGGGACGAUGGUCAGUGGACGGACGGCGCCAGGGAGCAGUGCCCACGCGCGGCAGGGCGGUACCUUCAGGCCUCCAGGUACGGGCGCUCCUCGCCCGGACGCUGCUGUGUGUGAAUGGGCGCGAGGGGACUCCCCUGCGGGGCGGACGCCUGAACACGAGGCUGUGGAGGAGGACGCUGUAGGGUGCGCGGACUCACGCGGAACAUGCCAGAGGCUCAGCCAGCCACGGCGCUCCCAGCGUGGAGGGCGAGGGGCAUCCGGGAGCGGCCGGGAGGGCUCGGUCACCCCUCAAGCUGUCACCCCAGUCCCACAACCAGCACCCCGAUCCUAUCGCAGUCCCACAGCCGACACCCCGAUCCCACCCCUGCCCAACAGCCGGCACCCACCCCAAUCCCAUAGCUAACACCCCGGUCCCACCGCUGUCCCACGGCCGGCACCCCGAUCCCACCCCAGUCCCGCAGCUGGCACCCCGAUCCCACCCCAGCCCAACAGCUGGCACCCACCCCGAUCCCACCGCUGUCCCACAGCCGGCACCCCGAUCCCACCCCAGUCCCGCAGCCGGCACCCCGAUCCCACAGCCGGCACUCACCCCGAUCGCAUAGCAUAGCUGAUACCCCGAUCCCACCCCAGUCCCAUAGCCAGCACCCCGAUCCCACCCCAGUCCCAUAGCCAGCACCUCGAUCCCAUAGAUGACACCCCGAUCCCGCCCCAGUCCUAUAGCCCGCACCCCGAUCCCACCCGAGUCCCGCAGCCGGCACCCCAUCCCACCCAUGUCCCACAGUCGGCACCCCGAUCCCACUCGGAUCCGGCAGCCAGCUUGGAUCCUGUGGCCCUCCUCCAGCCCCCAGGGCUCAUUUAUAUGUUUUAUUGGCAGAGGCUGGGGCUGGCUCUGUUGGCCUCUGUGCUGGGUUUCUUCCUCUGCACCGCAGGACUGGCUCUCCUGACCUCUCCAGGUGUCAUCGAACACCCUUGUGCUUGCUGUCACCCGCUGCCUGUCUGCAGGAUCCCGGAUUCCGUAUCAGGGGACCGAAAUUAGUCGGAAAAUAGGAAGCAGGUGCUCGCUUGGAUGGAACCCUGACCCUGUGCUCACACUUGUAGGAGGAGGGCUCUGCAGGCCGCCUCCCGGAACGGGAGGUUCCCAAGCCACUGCACUUCGGAGGGGCUGUAAUUAGAGUUGCACAUUCAUUCAGUUCCCAGUAAAGUAGAACGUGCUCCAGCCAGUGAGGAAAAGGUGUUUUUAAAAAUUAGAUUGGCCGAGUGCGGUGGCUCAUGCCUUUUACCUCAACACUUUGGGAGACAAAGGUGGGAGGAUCACCUGUGGCCAGGAGUUCAAGACCAGCCUGGGCAACAGAGCCUGUCUCUGGGGAAGAAUAAAAAAAAAAAUUGAGCCUUU